AGAAUCAACGCUGGCGGCGUGCCUAACACAUGCAAGUCGAACGAGAAAGUGGAGCAAUCCAUGAGUAAAGUGGCGACCGGGUGAGUAACACGUGACUAACCUACCUUCGAGUGGGGGAUAACCUCGGGAAACCGAGGCUAAUACCGCAUAACAUCGCAAGAUCAAAGCAGCAAUGCGCUGGAAGAGGGGGUCGCGGCUGAUUAGCUAGUUGGCGGGGUAACGCCCACCAAGGCGAAGAUCGGUAGCCGGCCUGAGAGGGGCGCGACGGACCGACGACCUGGAACGUGAAACACGGUCCAGACUCCUACGGGAGGCAGCAGUGGGGAAUUUUGCGCAAUGGGGGAAACCUGACGCAGCAACGCCGCGUGGAGGAUGAAGCCCCUUGGGGCGUAAACUCCUUUCGACCAAGACGAUAAUGACGGUACUGGUGGAAGAAGCACCGGCUAACUCUGUGCCAGCAGCCGC
rnacentral:rRNA from 1 species